GCCCCGCGCCUGUACGGAGAGCGAGGGCUGGGGGCAUUUCCCCUUGUGAACAGCCCCCUCCGCUCCCCGGGCAGCGUCGCCUCUCCAGAACCCUCACGGCAUCCUACCGAAUCAUAAAAUGUUCACGGCUGGAAGAGACCUUAAACUACCCCUAAACCACAUCACCCUGAGCCAGAUCCACGCACCUCUUCAACACCUCUAGGGAUGGUGACUCCACCACUUCCCUGGGCAGCCUGUUCCAAGGCCAGAUCACCCGAAUAGUGAUUUUUUUUCCCCCUGAUAUCUAAUCUGAAUGUCGCCUGUCCUGCGCCUGCCGCAUUCUCCCGCGCCCCCUCCCCUCACGCAGCCGCCAGCAGCUCCUCGCUGCUCCCCCGGCGCUGCCCCUUGCUCCCAGCCUGAGGUGGGCCGUGCCCGCAUCCCUGCCCCUCUUAUCCCACCCUUGGGAACCCGGGCCAGUGCAGCCCUUCAGAGACUUGGGCAGGACUCUCGGAGCCACAGAAUCGCUGAGGCUGGAAAGGACCUCUGCGGCCAUCGAGUCACUCCUGUGACCGAUCACCACCGUGACAACCAGGCCCUGGCACUGAGGGCCACGUCCGGACAGUCCCUAAACACCCCCAGGGACGGUGACUCCACCACCCGAGCACUCAGCCUGAGUCCUGCUGUGUUGGCAGAACCCGGUGCCACAGAAUGUCCCUGCCGUGACUGCGUGUGCCAGGGGCCGAAGGUGACAGCAGCGGGAGGGGAGCCGUGGCAGUCUGUCCUUCUGACAGCAGAGUUUGCUCUGCUCCCGGAUGGAUGCCAGGGGGCCGCCGAGGUUCCUGGCUUCUCGGCUGCGAUGCGGCCACGACCUGGCUGCUGCUGCCGGCCGGGCACGUUAGGCCCUGGUUCACCACAGACCCUCAGUCUGGGACAAAGGCUUGCUGUUCCUGGAGUUUGGGAACCUGUGCCUAAAUCUGUACCAGUGAGAAGAGCAGAGGAUGCGUCUACCCGAGGAAGGAUUGGCAGAGGUGUGUCGAGUCUGUACCCAUCCAAGGGACACGUCUCUCCUGUGCCCUGGCAAACGGCAGUGAUGGCUCUGUCUGUCCUGCACAGGCUGGGACAGGCUCAGCCUUGCUGAGUGCCUAAACCUGCUCACUAGUUUUGAAAAUGAAUCAGGUUAAAACUGAGGAAAAAAUAUAUAUUUUCCAUUACCGGUCAAAAAUAAGAAAUUCUGACCUCCUAGAAAUGCUGGAAGUUGUCCAUUUGCCUUGCGUGGGAGUGCUCCCAAAGCAAGCAACUGGUUUUCAAAAUUAAACGCAAUGCUGACUGUAUAGUCUUUCAAAGUUAAUAGUGUAUUUGUUGCUAUUGCUUAAGCUGCAGUCAUUGCUGUUUCAACAGCACUGUGUAGGUAUUGUUUUCUGCCAAGACCUCUUCAACAGUGCACCUUGAAAUUUCACUUCUCUGAAGUCUGGAGUGCAAAAAUAAAUUGUUUCUAUUUCAAAAGAGAAACUUUAAUUUAUUCCCACACAAUAGUCCUGAGGAAGAGGUAGAUCCUGGUAACAGCAGAAAUGUGCAGAGGCCGCUGCAAGGCACAGGAGGAGAGUGUGCCAAAGUCUUUGGAAGCAGGUUUCUGUGAAUGCACAAGCAUUCAAGAAAGAAGCCCAUUUCCCAAGGAACCUGGGAUGCUAAAGUCACUGGGAGGUUUUCAAAAGUAGGGAAAAUGCAACAGGAUUCAGCUGGAUCCUCAUGAGAAGGGAUUGAUGGACAAAUGGGAUUUAUCCAUCCUCCCUGCCUUUCCCGAGUCCUCUGGAGGAUGUGAAGCAAAAGAAGGGAGAAACCUGAACAUCAAGCAAGUUGGAACUGAAGCCUGUCUUAGCAAUUGCAGCAGGUAAUUUCCCUGGGGAGGAGAGAUGUUACUGGCAGAGGCCAGUAGAUUAUAUGUAUAUAUAUUUUUUGUCAAAAUAUGGAGUGUAUUUCUACAUAAAACUACACAAUAUGGUAGCAGCAUAAGGUUGGGCAUUGGAAUUGAGAAUGAAAAGUUUGAACUCUAGGUUGAACUGAUGGGUCCUUUGAGAUGUAACCAAAUUAUAUUUACUCAUGAUUCUAAGCCUGAUCCCAUUUCCCUCACUCAUGUGUGUAGUCCUGCUUGUUUCAAAUACCUGCAAGAUUUGUUUGUUCAAUUAAGAUAUUACCAGCCAGUUCUGAACUUCCUUGAUUCACAUACUUCGCCAGACUUUAGUUAAAGACCUAAAUAUUUGUUUUCCAUAUGUAUUUUAAUUACUUUUGUCAUAUUUUAAAUUGAAUAAAAUAUCUGAAAAUGCCUGUGCUUGUAGCAGACACAUCACAAUGCUCCAUUAGA